CCGGAAAUAGCUGGUUCUCCCCGAAAACUAUUUAGGUAGUGCGUCGUACGGACACUUGCGGGGGUAGAGCACUGUAAUCGUUGGGGGGGUCAUUGCGAUCUACCCCGCGAUAGCAAACUCCGAAUACCGCAAAGUGAUAUACGGCAGACAGACAUCGGGUGCUAACGUCCGGUGUCAAGAGGGAAACAACCCAGACCGCCAGCUAAGGUCCCAAAUGCAUGGCUAAGUGGCAAACGAGGUGGGAAGGCAUAGACAGCUAGGAGGUUGGCUUAGAAGCAGCCAUCCUUUAAAGAAAGCGUAAUAGCUCACUAGUCGAGUCGUCCUGCGCGGAAGAUGUAACGGGGCUCAAGCCAUGAACCGAAGCUGCGGAUGUGUCUUUGACACGUGGUAGGGGAGCGUUCCGUAAGCCUGCGAAGGUGUCUCGUAAGGGAUGCUGGAGGUAUCGGAAGUGCGAAUGCUGACAUGAG
rnacentral:rRNA from 1 species